rnacentral:rRNA from 1 species
CCUACGGGUGGCAGCAGUGGGGGAUAUUGCACAAUGGGGGGAACCCUGAUGCAGCGACGCCGCGUGGGUGAAGAAGCGCCUCGGCGCGUAAAGCCCUGUCAGCAGGGAAGAAAAUGACGGUACCUGAAGAAGAAGCCCUGGCUAACUACGUGACAGCAGCCGUGGUAAUACGGAGGGGGCAAGCGUUAUCCGGAUUUACUGGGUGUUAAGGGGGCGCAGACGGGGUUGCAAGCCAGGAGUGAAAGGCCGGGGCCCAACCCCGGGACUGCUCGUGAAACUGGGUGGCUGGAGUGCAGGGGGGGCAGGCGGAAUUCGUGGUGUAGCGGUGAAAUGCGUAGAUAUCAGGAGGAACACCGAUGGCGAAGGCAGCCUGCUGAACUGCAACUGACAUUGAGGCCCGAAAGCGUGGGGAGCAAACAGGAUUAGAUACCCGAGUAGUC